GCAAGCCCGCCUCACCCUGCUCGAUGGAGGGAAUCCCCCUUGUGUUAUUUGUUUUGCCUGUUGAUUCAACCGUGCUGCUCCUCUGGUGGACAGAUUCCAUGUCAGCGAACAUUAUGGAGAACCUACUGUACUGUGGCAGCCAUGUCACAUAAAUCCCUGCUUCUCAUAAGUGGAAAACCAAAGGAAAAUAUGGACACAGAUAUAGAAUGACACAUCAAGAGGCUGAGCAGAAAAGACUGGUGCUUCUUAAAGCCCUUCUAGCACAGAAGAGGACCAUUUCAUCAAGCUGAAGGAGG